ACACCCAGCCGAGCCAGGGUCUUAUAUAGACAGGUCUUGCCAUGACUUCACAAUGUGAAGGCACAUGUGAGGGCACAGCAAGAAAUGGGCCAAUUAUGCGAUCAUGGCUGGGGAUGUCUGAGACCCCAGUGGUUUCCUCACUUUUUAUUCCCAAAACCCCUUUACUCAAUAAAAAAAAAAAGACCCCCAAUGGGCUUUUUGUUUGUUUGUGUGGGCUUUUCAAGAUUGAUAUUUACUUUGUUAGAAAUCAAAAUCUAUAAGAUGGUUCAGUGGCCUUUUCACUUCAAGUUUAGAAAACUGUAAUUUUGGCUUGUAUAGACCUCGUAAUGUCUACACGUAAAAUACCCAGUUCCUGGUCUCAAAAUGGUGCUACAACAUAUAAGGAAAUGUUGUGUUGUGUACAACACGAUAAGGCUCAUUAUUAACAUCUAUAAAGCUCAGAGGAAGAUUGCUUCUCAUCAUAUUUUCACUGAUAAGGUUGUGAGGAGAUUUCUCAUCAGAAACCUUGGAGGCUAGAAGGCAUGGGUUGAUGUGUUUAAAGCAUUGAAGGAAAAAAGCUGUCAACCAAGAAUCCUACAUUUGGGAAAACUGUCCUUCAAAAAUGAGGAAGAAAUGAAGACAUUCCCAGAUCAACCAAAGCUGAAAGCCUUGCCCUGAUGACUAGACCGGCCCUGCAGUGAAGGGGGUCCUUCAGGUUGAAAUGAAAGGGCACUGAACAAGUAACUCGAAGCCUUCUGAAGAGAUAAUCUCCGGUAAAGGUAAACAGACAGACAAUUAUGAACGCUAGUACUGUUAUGACUUUGGUCUGUAGCUCUACUUUUUGUUCUCUAUGUUAAGAGACUGAUAUAUUUAAAAACCUAAUUAUUCAUCUAUGCUUUUGGACACAAGAUGCAUAAAGAUGUGAUUUUGUGACAUUAACAACUGACAGAAGGUGGGGUCAGGGCUGUAAAGUAGCUGAGUUUUCAUGUGUUAUUGAGGUUAAGCUGGUAUAAAUUGACACUACAAUGUUGUAACUUUAGGAUGUUAAAAGCAAUCCCAUGGUAACCACACACAACCACACACACACACACACACACACGCCACAGAACAUACACAAAAGGAAAUGAGAAGGGAAUUAAAAUGUUUCACUACAAAAAAAAAAUCAACUAAAUGCAAAAGAAGAUAGUCAUGCAGAAAAUUUGAGACAGAAAGCAAUUAAGGCAUAUAGAAAACAAAGAGCAAACCACAGAAGGAAUUCCUUCCUUAUCAGUAAUGACUUUAAAUGUAAGCAGAUUAAACAGAUUAGUGAAAUGGAUAAAAACAUAGGAUCCAACUCUCUGUUACCUACAAGGGACUCAGAUCCAAAGACACAAAAAAGGUGAACGUGAAAGGAAGGAAAAAGAUAAUCCAUGCAAAUGCAGCCAAAAGAAAGGGUGGAGUGGCUGUAAUAAUACCAGACAGAACAGACGUUAAAUCAGAAAAUGUUACAAGAGACAAAGAAGGACAUUUUAUAUGAAUUAAGAGGUUCAGUACAGCAAGAAGAAAAGAUGAUAAACAUUUACACACAUAAUGAGAGGCCAUUAUCGACAGAACUGAAGGGAAAAAUAGUUGUAUAAUAAUCGUUGGAGCCUUCCAUAUCCCACUGUCAAUAACGGACAGGACAACCAGACAGAAGGUAAGUAAGGACACAGAGGAUUUGAAGAACACCAUAGCCCAGCCAGAUCUAACAGACGGGCACGGGACCCCACCCAACAAUAACGGCACGCGGGACCUUCUCUGAGACAGUCUUUGCAUUAGGUCACGAGUUAAGUCUCAGUAGAUUUUACAAGAUAGAUAUCAUACAAAGUAUCUUUUCCAACCACAAGAAGAUGAAGUCAGAAAUGGGUAACAGAAGGAAGAGUGGAAAAUUUAAAAAGCUGUGAAAACUGAAAACACACUCUCAAAGAACCAAUGUGUCGAAGAAGAAAUCACAGUGGAAUGCGAACAUACGUAGAGGUGAAGGGAAAUGAAACACGACGCGUCAAAACUCCUGGAAAACAACAAAGCAGUGGCGAGGGGGAAAUUUAUAGCUGUAAACGCUCACAGUAAACAUCAAGACAGAUCUUAAAUCAACACCAUAGACGUGCAACUUAAGAAACUAGAAAAAGCCAAAGGUAGCAAAGGGAAGGACAUAAUAAAGAUUAGAGCGGAGAUAAAUGAAACAGAGGCUAGAAAAACGAAAGAGAUAAUCAAUGGACCCAAGAGCUGGUCCUUUGAAAACACCAAACUGCUAGCCGGAUUGCCGGUGGAGGCAGAGAAGACUCAAUGACUGCAUUGCCACUGACUCCUUACAGACGUAGGAAGGGUUAGAGUGCUAUCAACAAGUGUAUUCCAGCUAAUUGGAGAAUCCAGAUACAAUGGACCAAUUUCUAGACCUAGAAAACCUACCAAGACUAAAUCACAAAGAAAGAGAAAAUCGGAAGAGAUUCGUACAUAACUAGGGAGGAGCCUGAGGCUGUAAUCGAAGAUCACUUGACCAAAAAAAGCCCCGGAUCUGACAGCCUCACUGGUGAAUUCUACCAAACAUUGGAAGAAUUGACACCAAUCUUCUCAAACUCUUCCAAAAAAUUCAGGAAAGAACACUUCCUAACUAAUUCUAUCAGGCCGCCAUUGCUUUGAUGCACCCUAAAUAUCUCUGGGCCACCUUCCAGACAGUCACCAGAGGAGUUUUCUAAAAUAUCCAGCCAGAUGAGUUAUUUUCUCAGCGACAAAAGAGACCUUUCUCUGGUCUGUGGAAAGAGAGGACCAGCAGUGUCUCCAGAAUCAGGCUGAACAUCUAUGGACCUCUUCUGAGAGCCUCCGUCCACAACGGAUGGGCCACACCGCAGACUGGACACAGCUGAAGCGGGGCAGGGGGUGGGGUGGGGAGGGGAGAAUUCACGGAGGUAACCUGGGCUUCAAUUGGUCUGUCAGCUGCUUUGACUGCUUUGGGCAUCUUUGAAUACAACAAGCCAUGCCCUCGUUGGACACUGGGAAAGGACAAUCUAUCUGCACAUCCAGCCCUAUGGGCUGGAGUCUCCCAAACGAGGCCAUCGUUUGUUUUGGCAACUCUGCUCCACCACAACAUUCAUCAGACUCCUGAGAAAGACGACCGAUGAAGGGAUCCAUAAAUGAAGUUCGAUACGAAUCCGUUCUCCUUGCAACAGGACGCCACUGGAAACAUUGGUCAUGUUGCCAAGGCUUUGACUGGAAUGUCAUAGUUGAGGGAGAUAUGCCUAGACUCAGCUACAAUCAGAGAGCUUUAAGGAGCUAAUUACGGUUGACUUUGCCGAGCCAAUGAAGCCCCUUGGAAAACUUGCCUCGUACCUUGCUUACAAAGUUUCCAGCAGCCCUACCAGGUGAAUAAGGAAGGUCGUCACUUCCUGGCAGGUGCAGGAACCUCAGGGUAUUUGGGGGAUCUCGAGAAGAGAGGGAGCCACCCACACCUAUAGGUAUGGCAGGCAAAGGCUGAUGGCCAGUAUUUGGCUUAGCUUCUUUAGCCUGACAAGGCUGCUAAAAGUUCAAUCUGACAUUCCUUACGAAAAGUUCCAGCGAAGCAGAUUGAAAAACCCAACACCUAUAUGACCAAUCACCGUUGUGAUGGCGCUUGUGUAAACAGGCCCAGCUUCAACUGGACAAUUUCACAAACAAACGUGUCCUAAUCUGGCUCUCUUCCCAAGACCCUCUGGAAGAGCUCUCGUGCCAAAGAUAGACUUAACUACAUAUCAACCCCAACGUCCCUUGGAAGACCAAAGAGGAGUUAAGUAAGGAGUGGGGGUUUGGACACCGUGCUGGCCUGGACACCGGCUGGAAAUAGAAUGAAUCCUUACCCUAGAGCAUCUGAUGAAAGAAAUAAUUAGCCACAUUCCUCGAAGCACCCGUUAUGGGAAAGAUGCCCCUCUCCAGUGGAUCCAGAAGUAUACUGCGGGCUCCGAUUUCAGCGAAAUGCUACAAAAGGCAACGCUUGUGCUAAAAACAAUCCUAAGACUGGGUGCCCACAAGUUCUCAAGGGUAUACAACUGAGACGCCCCAAACCUGGGGAAGACCGGCACGCAGCCUUUCCCAGAAUGCAAAGAACAAUGGGAAAUUCUCGGGGUUUGCUUGUAUCUGCAGACACCUUUAUCAACGGGGUUGAGGUUUCUCCCUGCUGUUCAGAGAAGGCCUCGGGAGUGGUCAAAAUGCUUUGAAGCGAGAUCAUUUCUAGGUUUGGACUGCCGCUAAUAAUUCAGAGUGACAAUGGAGUGACAACCACAGCGUCCAAGGCCUUGGGCAUUCAGUGGAAAUCACACGCUUCCUGGAGACACCGAGAGAGUGGAAAAAGGGAAAAAAAUGAACUUUGGCAAAGCUCUGCCAAGAAACCCACUUCACUUGGGAACAACCCGUGCCAUCUGCCCUGCUUUGGGAAAGAGUGGUCCCUAGAAGAGGGCUUGGUUUAAGCCCCUGUGGAAUGUCAUAUGCAAGACUUUCUAUGUUCUUUCGUGACCUAGGAGGUGCUGGCGGGGCUCCCACCAGCGAUUUGGAUACAUCCAGGGCCUGCGUUUGCUUCCGGCAGGCGGAUGUACCUCACAGAUGUGUCUUCACGCUGCCUGAAUCCCUUGGUGACAUCCAAAGGUGUCACUAAAGAUGUCACUAAAGACCUGAAGAGCGGGAGCCCAGAGGACCAGCUCCAGCCUCACUGGACAGGUCAGACCCUGUGAGGUGCCGUUGACCCCCCACUCCCCGGAGACUACAGGGAAUUGAGCCGUGGAUUCACACUUGAAUGACAAGAAUCCACAGGUUCCCUACACCUGUCAGCAGGGAGGAGGUCGAAAGGGACCCGGCUCAGACCAGUGAGCCUCUGCCGGACCUGAACCUCCGACGCGGGGGAACUGGUCCAAGGGAAUCAAGCCACGAGGACAACAUGCUGCCUGUUGUUCUCUAGUACCCCUAAAGCCCUAGACACAACAUGGUACAGGAACUAUUGACCAAAGUACAAAAAUCCCGGUAAUGCAGGACAUUCCUUUCCACCCCAAAGUUUCCCCUUGUCUAACCCCAGUCUCCACCCCACCUCAGCAGGAAGUAACGGCCGCGGCCGGGUGGUGGUCCCAAUACCCACAAGAAUGAGGACGGGUCAAAAGACCCUGGGGACUGAAAAGGGUAACCAAAGGGCUAGCAGCCGCAACUCUGUACCCUGACCUUUUUCCUUCGCCACUAAGUACCCCUGACUCUCCUCCUCUAGGGAGGUGGAUGUGAGGCUCGCCCUCCUGCCUCUGGGAUAAACACUUGCUUUGCUUUAUA